UGUCACAGAAGUUUUACGAAAUCGAUUUAUUUCACCCUUUCCAAAUCGUUACGAUUUGCUUUUGCUUCUUCAGCACUCGUACGUUUUGAUUAAUCCGGAAAAAAAAUCAUUUCACAUUUUUGAAAUAAAAAUAUGGUAACUCCAUGAAAAAAAAGUCGUAAACAAAUUAUUGACAAUUAAAAAAGGAGUUUAAAUUGUUUUUUAUAAUAUAAACACCAAAAGUAAAAAUGCCAGGGGCUUCAAUACUUGCUGUAAUGGAUGAAGAAAUAAAUCAGCGGUCUACUGAAAAAAUUUGUCGCAGGACAUUGAGGAACGCAUCAGAUCCUUUAUCUCACUCAAAUGCAGAAUUUAUAACUUAUUAUCGGCUAAAUAAAGAAGCUUUUGUUUUAGUUUUGGAAAAAAUUUCUCCCCACCUCAAACGUUCCAAUAUACCGGCUAUUAUCCAGCUUGCAACAACGCUUAGGUUUUUGGCUACGGGUGCAUUUCAAGGAGUUAUAGGUAGAGAUGUGGAGCUAAGCCUUGGGAGAAGUACAGUUUCUACAAUUAUGUGGAGAGUUAUUAAUGCAAUUG